CUUGUCUCCGAGUGUGCGAAAAACACGCUGUCCUUCGGCACCAAGACAGUGGAGGAGAAUGGCCAUUUUCCGCUUCGUCGGGAUGCCAUCGAGGCCCAUUGUUAACAGACAAAUUACUUAAUUCAUAUGAAAACUUCAUAAGUGGUCCAAAUCCGACAUCAAAAAGAAGACAACGUGUGCAGACCAUUCAGAAGUUUUUUAGGGACGCAUUCGAAGGAAAUCCAACAAGAGAAUGGGACUCAGUUCUCAGAGAAGAAAUUUUCUUUGGAUACGUCAAGCAGCUCAAAGAAUCUCAAAAUGAUCGUGCUACAACAAUUCUUCAUAAACUGACUGAUCUCUCCCACUUCUUCAAGUGGGUCAAUAAAUCCCACCCAGAAUGGGUGAGGGUUUCGAAAAAAGUCCUUAA